UUAUAUGUGACGGUGUCGUAUCGGUGUUGGACACGACACGUGUCCGACACUGGGACACAUGUCGUGUCUGACAC
rnacentral:pre_miRNA from 1 species